UAAAGAAUUUCGGUCAUCGAUGGGGACGCGUUCCAUUAGCUUGUUGGCGGGGUAACGGCCCACCAAGGCAUCGAUGGAUAGGGGUUCUGAGAGGAAGGUCCCCCACAUUGGAACUGAGACACGGUCCAAACUCCUACGGGAGGCAGCAGUGAGGAAUAUUGGUCAAUGGGCGCUAGCCUGAACCAGCCAAGUAGCGUGAAGGAUGACUGCCCUAUGGGUUGUAAACUUCUUUUAUAUGGGAAUAAAGUGCAGUAUGUAUACUGCUUUGCAUGUACCUUAUGAAUAAGGAUCGGCUAACUCCGUGCCAGCAGCCGCGGUAAUACGGAGGAUCCGAGCGUUAUCCGGAUUUAUUGGGUUUAAAGGGAGCGUAGGCGGGUUGUUAAGUCAGUUGUGAAAGUUUGCGGCUCAACCGUAAAAUUGCAGUUGAUACUGGCAUCCUUGAGUACAGUAGAGGUAGGCGGAAUUCGUGGUGUAGCGGUGAAAUGCUUAGAUAUCACGAAGAACUCCGAUUGCGAAGGCAGCCUGCUGGACUGUAACUGACGCUGAUGCUCGAAAGUGUGGGUAUCAAACAGGAUUAGAUACCCUGGUAGUCCACACAGUAAACGAUGAAUACUCGCUGUUUGCGAUAUACAGUAA
rnacentral:rRNA from 1 species